AGGUCAGUAGAAGAUGGAGAGGAAAGAAACCUCAUGCCACGUUGCAUCGAUUCCCACGCGUAAGAAGAAAAUAAGGCGCUGAAAAACGACAGCAGUCUGUGAGGGAACGCAUUUUCCAAUAAAAAGGAAAUGUCUACCUUCAGCUUUCCAUUAUCUACACGAGAGAUCCGUCUUACACUAGGCAGGUAUACAUUAACAGUUACCCACCUUUUAUGAUGAGACCAGAGGAGACUUGCAUCAACGACAUCAGAUUCGUGUUGGACAGUGCCCGCACCCGUAUCAAGCUAAAAAGAUUGUUUCGUUUGUCGAAGUUGGUUUUCUCUUUUAAAUUUGCAGGAUCAAUAUUUAAUAUGGAAUUGGUUGUUAUAUUCUGCACUGUAUGAAAGGGAAAUUUGUACGCUACUAGCAUUUUAUUCAUGAAAGUCGUGAUAAGAAAAGUAAAAAUAAAAAACAUUAGGUCUUUACUGAACGUCAACUCUGCAUGCCCCUGGUUUACUGCUUAACACGUGCUAUAAAGCCAUGACAGUACACGUAGGAUUGAUCUUUGAAAAACAGCUUUAGUUGGAAAACCAGCCUAAUUGUAUUCUUUUUCUAAAAAAUAUGCAGUUUUUAAAAGAACUGUUAAUUUUUCUCAUAUUGGCAUUUUCAAAUUGUGACUUUGAAGUCCUUUGCUAGUCACACUUCCUAAAUAUCCAUGAUAUUUAUAAUGUAUUAUUAAAAUUGAUGGUGAUUAUGUUGUUAAGCAUUAUGCCAAAUUGCAUCAAAAUUGAUUAAAAAAAACUUGUCUACUGCCACUACAAAUGCUCUAAAAGGAAAACUGUGUUGCUUAUUUUGUAGUUUUCAAAAAUUACUAAUAUACAGCUCAAAUUGGCAAACCAGCUUGGUUGCAUUAUUUUUCUUUUUUGUAGUG